rnacentral:rRNA from 1 species
UACGUAGGGACCGAGCGUUGUCCGGAUUCAUUGGGCGUAAAGAGCUCGUAGGCGGCUGCUCAAGUCGAAUGUGAAAACUCGAGGCUCAACCUCGAGCCUGCAUUCGAUACUGGGCGGCUAGAGUCUGGUAGGGGAGAUUGGAAUUCCUGGUGUAGCGGUGGAAUGCGCAGAUAUCAGGAGGAACACCGAUGGCGAAGGCAGAUCUCUGGGCCGUAACUGACGCUGAGGAGCGAAAGCAUGGGGAGCGAACAGG